UGCCAGCAGCCGCGGUAAUACGGAGGGUGCGAGCGUUAAUCGGAAUCACUGGGCGUAAAGCGUACGUAGGCGGCGUAUCAAGUCAGGCGUGAAAGCCCUCGGCUCAACCGAGGAAUUGCGUUUGAAACUGGUAUGCUAGAGUCUCGGAGAGGUUGGCGGAAUUCCAGGUGUAGGAGUGAAAUGCGUAGAUAUUGGAAAGAACACCGAUGGCGAAGGCAUUUUACUGGGCCAUUACUGACACUCAGAGACGAAAGCUAGGGUAGCAAAUGGGAUUAGAUC
rnacentral:rRNA from 1 species